UACAGGGGGUGCAAACGUUGCUCGGAAUUAUUGGGCGUAAAGCGCGCGUAGGCGGCCACUUAAGUCGGAUGUGAAAGCUCCUGGCUCAACUGGGGAAGUGCACCCGAAACUGAAUGGCUUGAAUACAAAAGAGGGUCGCGGAAUUCCCGGUGUAGAGGUGAAAUUCGUAGAUAUCGGGAGGAACACCGGUGGCGAAGGCGGCGACCUGGGUUGAUAUUGACGCUGAGGCGCGAAAGCGUGGGGAGCAAACAGG
rnacentral:rRNA from 1 species